rnacentral:rRNA from 1 species
AUUGAACGCUGGCGGCAGGCCUAACACAUGCAAGUCGAGCGGAUGAAGGGAGCUUGCUCCUGGAUUCAGCGGCGGACGGGUGAGUAAUGCCUAGGAAUCUGCCUGGUAGUGGGGGAUAACGUCCGGAAACGGGCGCUAAUACCGCAUACGUCCUGCGGGAGAAAGUGGGGGAUCUUCGGACCUCACGCUAUCAGAUGAGCCUAGGUCGGAUUAGCUAGUUGGUGGGGUAAAGGCCUACCAAGGCGACGAUCCGUAACUGGUCUGAGAGGAUGAUCAGUCACACUGGAACUGAGACACGGUCCAGGCGCCUACGGGAGGCAGCAGUGGGGAAUAUUGGACAAUGGGCGAAAGCCUGAUCCAGCCAUGCCGCGUGUGUGAAGAAGGUCUUCGGAUUGUAAAGCACUUUAAGUUGGGAGGAAGGGCAGUAAGUUAAUACCUUGCUGUUUUGACGUUACCAACAGAAUAAGCACCGGCUAACUUCGUG